ensembl:rRNA 5S_rRNA 5S ribosomal RNA
GUCUAUGGCCAUGCUACCCUGAACAAGCCCGAUCCUGUCUGAUCACGGAAGCUAAGCAGGGUCGGGCCUGGUUAGUACUAGAUGGGUAAACCACCUAGAAAGACCAGGUGCUGUAGGCU